rnacentral:rRNA from 1 species
GAUGAACGCUGGCGGCGUGCCUAAUACAUGCAAGUCGAGCGAACGGACGAGAAGCUUGCUUUUCUGAUGUUAGCGGCGGACGGGUGAGUAACACGUGGAUAACCUACCUAUAAGACUGGGAUAACUUCGGGAAACCUGAGCUAAUACCGGAUAAUAUUUUGAACCGCAUGGUUCAUCAGUGAAAGCGGGUCUUGCUGUCACUUAUUGAUGGAUCCGCGCUGCAUUAGCUAGUUGGUAAGGUAACGGCUUACCAAGGCAACGAUGCAUAGCCGACCUGAGAGGGUGAUCGGCCACACUGGAACUGAGACACGGUCCAGACUCCUACGGGAGGCAGCAGUAGGGAAUCUUCCGCAAUGGGCGAAAGCCUGACGGAGCAACGCCGCGUGAGUGAUGAAGGUCUUCGGAUCGUAAAACUCUGUUAUUAGGGAAGAACAGAUGUGUAAGUAACUGUGCACAUCUUGACGGUACCUAAUCAGAAAGCCACGGCUAACUACGUG